rnacentral:rRNA from 1 species
ACACAUGCAGUCGAGCGGUAGCACAGAGAGCUUGCUCUCGGGUGACGAGCGGCGGACGGGUGAGUAAUGUCUGGGAAACUGCCUGAUGGAGGGGGAUAACUACUGGAAACGGUAGCUAAUACCGCAUAACGUCGCAAGACCAAAGUGGGGGACCUUCGGGCCUCAUGCCAUCAGAUGUGCCCAGAUGGGAUUAGCUGGUAGGUGGGGUAACGGCUCACCUAGGCGACGAUCCCUAGCUGGUCUGAGAGGAUGACCAGCCACACUGGAACUGAGACACGGUCCAGACUCCUACGGGAGGCAGCAGUGGGGAAUAUUGCACAAUGGGCGCAAGCCUGAUGCAGCCAUGCCGCGUGUGUGAAGAAGGCCUUCGGGUUGUAAAGCACUUUCAGCGGGGAGGAAGGCGGUGAGGUUAAUAACCUCAUCGAUUGACGUUACCCGCAGAAGAAGCACCGGCUAACUCCGUGCCAGCAGCCGCGGUAAUACGGAGGGUGCAAGCGUUAAUCGGAAUUACUGGGCGUAAAGCGCACGCAGGCGGUCUGUCAAGUCGGAUGUGAAAUCCCCGGGCUCAACCUGGGAACUGCAUUCGAAACUGGCAGGCUAGAGUCUUGUAGAGGGGGGGGUAGAAUUCCAGGUGUAGCGGUGAAAUGCGUAGAGAUCUGGAGGAAUACCGGUGGCGAAGGCGGCCCCCUGGACAAAGACUGACGCUCAGGUGCGAAAGCGUGGGGAGCAAACAGGAUUAGAUACCCUGGUAGUCCACGCUGUAAACGAUGUCGAUUUGGAGGUUGUGCCCUUGAGGCGUGGCUUCCGGAGCUAACGCGUUAAAUCGACCGCCUGGGGAGUACGGCCGCAAGGUUAAAACUCAAAUGAAUUGACGGGGGCCCGCACAAGCGGUGGAGCAUGUGGUUUAAUUCGAUGCAACGCGAAGAACCUUACCUGGUCUUGACAUCCACAGAACUUUCCAGAGAUGGUUUGGUGCCUUCGGGAACUGUGAGACAGGUGCUGCAUGGCUGUCGUCAGCUCGUGUUGUGAAAUGUUGGGUUAAGUCCCGCAACGAGCGCAACCCUUAUCCUUUGUUGCCAGCGGUUAGGCCGGGAACUCAAAGGAGACUGCCAGUGAUAAACUGGAGGAAGGUGGGGAUGACGUCAAGUCAUCAUGGCCCUUACGACCAGGGCUACACACGUGCUACAAUGGCAUAUACAAAGAGAAGCGACCUCGCGAGAGCAAGCGGACCUCAUAAAGUAUGUCGUAGUCCGGAUUGGAGUCUGCAACUCGACUCCAUGAAGUCGGAAUCGCUAGUAAUCGUAGAUCAGAAUGCUACGGUGAAUACGUUCCCGGGCCUUGUACACACCGCCCGUCACACCAUGGGAGUGGGUUGCAAAAGAAGUAGGUAGCUUAACCUUCGGGAGGGCGCUUACCACUUUGAU